GGAAGGAUCUCUUCCCGAUGAUUACUCCUCUUGGAGUUUUUCCUGUAAGCCUACAACAUGGGGCUUAUCGCACUUGAAUAUCAACAAUCAAGACACAAAGGACUGGAAAGGAAUUUUCCCUUACCCUCGUGAAAUCUUGGGCAGAGAAGGAAAAAAAAAGUAGCUUGAAUGUAAGGUGAACAAAUCACACCAUGUCAUUAGUCCAAGGCUUUGCCUCUUGUUGCUCACCUUUGGAAAGGACCUGCUGCCUGAAGGCGGAGGGCAAAGCCCCUCCAGUCUACUAACGGACCGGCCCUGUAACACCCACUUCACAAUAUUUACACCAGUGAUGGGUAGCCUGUAUUUCCUGAUAAUGUUUCCAGCACGUUUCCAGUUAGAAGAGAGAUAGCAGUGAAAGCAUAUGGGAAACCCUAUUCCCUUUCCUAAUAACAAAUACAAUGGAAUUACACUUUAUAAUAACACAGACAUAUUUGUUUAUGAUGCACAUAAAUCUUGAGCUAUGCUAUAUGGAAGAUGCAUGCAGAGCUUCUAUAUUAAAGAAUUCACAUUCUGCAACUGAAUCUAUUUUUUUUUUUAAUUUGCUUUUAUUGUUAACCAUGUGGAGUAUAGUUUCAGCAGUUUGUGUCUGGAGUUUCAUUAAACAUAUUCUAAAUUAAUAAUGUUAUAGAGUAUCUAAUCUGUAUCAAUUACAAAUAAGUAUAAAUUAAUGUUUAUUUAUUCCUGUAUAGCUCAUUAACUUCCAAAUAUCUGUGAUAAUUUGAUUGACAAAUCUACAGUAAAGUUUAUCACAAAAGAGGUUUUCAACCCCUGUAGCCCUUAGGGACACUGCAUUACAGGAAAAUGGUGAGAACACAACUGUGCUCCAGGGUGUGCUUUGACUGUCUUCACUUGAGCCUCUCUCCCACAUUCUGUACUUUCCUAGGCUGCUUUUCCCCUAAAAAAAAAAACCCUGCUCCCCCUUGGGACCCCAUAGCCUCUUUCUCAUCUGCGAUUCCUGCCUUUUGAUUCUCCUUAUGCACUCGCAGCAAUAAGCAAGGCAGAUGUCAUAGGUCUGGCUUGACUUCUGGACUGGAGUUAUUUCAUGCCUGCUUACAGCAGGAGGAGAGGGGCUCAGAAACUCUGAGGUGGCCAGGUAGGACCAUCUGAGGAUCACAACCAGGGCAGCUUCUGCAGAGAAUAUUUUUGAGGCCAGGCUCUUAAUAUUUAAAUCAAUAUCAAAACUUCUAUCACCUAAAAUGAUCCCGAGCUUGGCUUUAUGUCUGUGCUAUUAAUGAGCAGACUAAUGUACAGGCCUAUAGACUUGUGAGGAGCUUAAAAACCCAGGGAAUGGAAAAUUAUACUGAGACGAACCCUGUUAAAACAAUUGGACCUCAACCAAAAAAGCACUUGUGCUUUCAAGAAUUGCUAACAGUUUUAAGAGCCAAUAUUUCAUGAGUUUCAGGGAAGAGAAGCAAAUACUGUAUGCUGUCAAAAAUGUGAAUUCAAACAUUCUUUAUAUAGCCUUUACUCAAAGCUCUGAUGUUUUGAGGUCGAAAACAUAAGUCCUUGAAGUCUAUGACUUUGAUUCAAUCUGAAUCAGUCAAUGCAAUUCAACUAUAAUAUCGAGCAAACUUUUAAAGAUUGCUAAAAUGUUGACAUUUUGGAUUUAAUAUGCAAUGUAAAAGUUACAGUAAUAAUUCUGGCUUUUACGUGAAAUUGAAGAGGCAGUACAAAAUUGAAAUACCCAUUUUUCUGGAAUAUUCUCAUAUUAAAAAUGUCUCU
rnacentral:lncRNA from 7 species